ensembl:lncRNA
GACAGCUGCACUGUGCUCUCGCACAAUGGUGGGUGCAGAGAAAAAUAGGGAGAUGAGGGGUGAUAGAUAAAGAGGGGAGGAUGAUUUUGGUCUAAAUCCUCUAACCUCUUCUGACGGGAACACAAAAUUCAAUCAUCUUGGUGUCCUUCUUUCUGUUUCCCCCCCUCAGAACUCUCUUCUCAGCUUAUAAGGAGGUCAGGAGUUAGUCCCACGGGGUGGCCUCUGACUUCCCAAGAUUCCCUGUUUUUCACUGAAGUCACCGUCCUAAGCUGGGCUUAACUUCAGGAAGGGAACAUAACUCUGUGACGUUUCGUGCAAUCCAUGCGGAUUCACACCGGAGAUCCACAGUAACCAUGGGGGCCCCCGCGUGAUCUGAACCGACCUUGCCAAACUCAUCUGCCGAGUUCGCUGCUCUCAGCCCGCAACAGGUGUACUUAACACCCCGUACCCCUUGCAGCAAUCCACACACACGUGCUUCCAGAUGAACCUGAGAAGUCAGUGAAGAGCCAGAUGAUGUUGGAGGGAGAUUUGAGAAGGCUUAUCUUCGGAUAGAUCGGGGAGCAGGCUGCAGCUGCGCUGAAAUGAUUUAUAUGAUGGUGAACCUGUUGGAUAGCAGAUACAAUUUAGAAGACAAAGGUGGACCAAUACACAGUAAGUACAUUUAAGUUGUGUUCAGUCUGAAAAGACUGUCAAAACUCGCCACAUUGUGCCUGGUUAAAAC